rnacentral:tRNA from 1 species
GCAGUUGUGGUUCAGUGGUAGAACUCUCAUCUUCCAUUUGGGAGACCCAUGUUCAAUUCCUGGCCACUGCA